GUUCUGUCUUCAGCAGUACAUAUACUAAAAUUUGAAUGAUACAGAGAAGAUUAGCAUGGCCCCUGUGCAAGGAUGACAUGCAAAUUCAUGAAGCAUUCCAUAUUUUU
rnacentral:snRNA from 1 species